rnacentral:rRNA from 1 species
GGACCCGCACAAGUAGUGGAGCAUGUGGUUUAAUUCGAAGAUACGCGCAGAACCUUACCUACUCUUGACAUCUACAGGAUCCUGCGGAGACGCGGGAGUGCCUUCGGGAACAGUAAGACAGGUGCUGCAUGGCUGUCGUCAGCUCGUGUUGUGAAAUGUUGGGUUAAGUCCCGCAACGAGCGCAACCCUUAUCCUUGUUUGCCAGCGAGUAAUGUCGGGAACUCCAGGGAGACUGCCGGUGAUAAACCGGAGGAAGGUGGGGACGACGUCAAGUCAUCAUGGCCCUUACGAGUAGGGCUACACACGUGCUACAAUGGCGCAUACAGAGGGCAGCAAGCCAGCGAUAGUGAGCGAAUCCCAAAAAGUGCGUCGUAGUCCGGAUUGGAGUCUGCAACUCGACUCCAUGAAGUCGGAAUCGCUAGUAAUCG